GGCGGACGGGUGAGUAACGCGUAAAGAACUUGCCCUUUAGACUGGGAUAACAGAGGGAAACUUCUGAUAAUACUGGAUAAGUUAGUAUAUCGCAUGAUAUACAAAUGAAAGCUACGGCACUAAAGGAGAGCUUUGCGUCCUAUUAGCUAGUUGGUAAGGUAAGAGCUUACCAAGGCGAUGAUAGGUAGCCGGCCUGAGAGGGUGGACGGCCACAAGGGGGACUGAGAUACGGCCCUUACUCCUACGGGAGGCAGCAGCG
rnacentral:rRNA from 1 species